UACGUAGGGGGGCUAGCGUUGUCCGGAAUCAUUGGGCGUAAAGCGCGUGUAGGCGGUCCGGUAAGUCCGCUGUGAAAGUCGGGGGGCUCAACCCCUCGGAUGCCGGUGGAUACUGUCGGGCUUGAGUACGGAAGAGGCGAGUGGAAUUCCUGGUGUAGCGGUGAAAUGCGCAGAUAUCAGGAGGAACACCAAUUGCGAAGGCAGCUCGCUGGGACGUUACUGACGCUGAGACGCGAAAGCGUGGGGAGCAAACAGG
rnacentral:rRNA from 1 species